CCCUUAGAUGUUCUGGGCUGCACGCGUGCUACACUGAUUAUUUCAACAAGUGUUUUAACUGGAGAGUUCGCGUAAUCCUGAAAUGUUAUCGUGAUGGGAGUAGAGUAUUGUAUUUGUUAAUCUUUAACGAGGAAUUCCUAGCAAGUGUAGGUUUAUAAGUUGUUCUGAUUACGUCCCUGCCCUUUGUACACACCGCCCGUCGCUCCUACCGAUUGAAUGUUCCGGUGAGCUCUUCGGACUGCGCGGUCUGCAGUUUCUGCGUUCCGUGCGGAAAGUUGCGCAAACCUUAACAUUUAGAGGAAGGAGAAGUCGUAACA
rnacentral:rRNA from 1 species